ACUCCUACGGGAGGCAGCAGUGGGAAUAUUGCACGAAUGGGCGCAAGCCUGAUGCAGCCAUGCCGCGUGUAUGAAGAAGGGCCUUCGGGUUGAUAAGUACUUUCAGGCAGUGAGGAAGGUGGGUAUGUUAAUAGCAUAUUCAUUUGACGUUAGCUGCAGAAGAAGCACCGGCUAACUCCGUGCCAGCAGCCGCGGUAAUACGGAGGGUGCGAGCGUUAAUCGGAAUUACUGGGCGUAAAGCGCAUGCAGGUGGUUUGUUAAGUCAGAUGUGAAAGCCGGC
rnacentral:rRNA from 1 species